rnacentral:snRNA from 1 species
CUCUGGUUUCUCUUCAGAUUGUAUAAAUCUUUUGCCUUUUACUAAAGAUUUCCGUGGAGAAGAACGUUUAUUCUGUUAAAUAUAUUUUUAAUGUUAAUAAAUCUUGAUGU